rnacentral:lncRNA from 1 species
GAUUAAGCUGUUCUUUGGUAAAUUCAUGUUCUGUGGUAGUCUGGGGAUCUGCCCGCACCGGCGCCUUGGGAAGUGAAUCCUCUGUCCCCCUGAGAAGAGUGCCCAGAGCAGUGUGAAGUCUGUGCUGCUGCCCUCACCGGCAGGCCUGACUUGAGUGAUCCGUGGCAAAUCUUUGCUAGGGCAUUUUGUAGCUGUGGCUUUUUCCUGGUACUUGUAUUUACACGUAUUCCUGACCUCACAUUUAUUUCAGAGAUCUUCUGCGUGGAACAGGCUGUCUGGUGCUGUAGCAUGGCUAAUAGUAUUCCUCCCAUGGUUGCCUUUCAGUAUUAAGCGAAGGAAAUGCAAUAAGAAUCCCAGGUAGAACUUGCUACAAGCAUCUUGUUUUCGCAGUGCUAAAGAAUCGAAGAAUUUCCAGUGUGGGCACUAAUGCUGGUAGCUGGGCAUGCUGCAUGUGCGGCAGCGUGCU